rnacentral:rRNA from 1 species
UCUCAGUUCGGAUUGGAGUCUGCAACCCGACUCCAUGAAGCUGGAUUCGCUAGUAAUCGCGCACUCAGCCACGGCGCGGUGAAUACGUUCCCGGGCCUUGUACACACCGCCCGUCAAGCCAUGGAAGCCGGGGGUGCCUGAAGUGCGCUGCCGCAAGGAGCGCCCUAGGGUAAAACCGGUGACUGGGGCUAAGUCGUAACAAGGUAAC